CCGAAUAUAGCUCAGCGGUAGAGCGGGAGACUGUAGUUAGUAGAUAUCUCUAGGUCCCUGGUUCAAAUCCGGGUGUUCGGA
rnacentral:tRNA from 1 species